CAUUAUCCUAAACUAGUGCUACGUAGCUUCAGGCUAAUGUUAUUGAGCAAGUGAGCUAACGGUUAGCCUACUGCAGUUGAACUAUUGGGGAUAAGAUCUCUUCUGCUAUUACUCGUCAAGAAACUGUUGUAAAACUUACUUCAGGAGGAUUCAUUUUAAGAAUCUCCACCUCCAUCAGGUUCUCCAUCCCCUGCUCCGGCUCGUCUCCUAUCAGCACCUGGAUGUGAACACAGUUUCCAGGUAAUUAGGUCCACCAAGUGUCUGCCGGCCGGCUUUGGUCGCUGUCAGCUGCACAAGAGACGAAACAGUCAAGAACUCAACAUGAAAACAUCGCUGAGGCUACAUGUGUAUUUGUUUGCAGUGUCGUACCAGGAAAAGUGUUUCCAGCAGCAUCUUUCUG